rnacentral:rRNA from 1 species
UAAUGUAUGGGGAUCUGCCCGAUGGAGGGGGAUAACUACUGGAAACGGUAGCUAAUACCGCAUAACGUCGCAAGACCAAAGUGGGGGACCUUCGGGCCUCAUGCCAUCAGAUGUGCCCAGAUGGGAUUAGCUAGUAGGUGGGGUAAUGGCUCACCUAGGCGACGAUCCCUAGCUGGUCUGAGAGGAUGACCAGCCACACUGGAACUGAGACACGGUCCAG